rnacentral:rRNA from 1 species
AAUUAUAAAUUUAUUAUAAAAUAUUUAUUUAUUUAUUUUUAAUAAAAAUAAUUUUAUUUAUUUUAAUUUUUAGUAUAUUUUAUAGAAAAAAUUUUAUUAAUUAUAGUUUAAUUGUAUAGUAAUAGAUAAUUGAAAUAAUUAGUUAAUUAUUUAAAAGUAAAAUUUAAUUUUUGUACCUUGUGUAUCAGGGUUUAUUAAAUAAAAAUUAAUUAUUUUAAUUUUCUCGAUUUUAAGAGAGUUAAUAAGUUAUGUUUUUUAUUGUAAAAAAAAUAUUUAUAAUAACUUAUUAGUAAUGAAAUGUUAUUCGUUCUUAAAUAUAUCUAGUUUAUUUAGAAAUGAAUUUAAUUCAGAUAUUAUAAUUUUAAUAAUUUAAUUUUUUAAUUUAUUAAAUUUUAAUAUUAAUAAUUAAAGGGAUUAGCUUUUAAUUAAAUUUUUAUAAAUUAGAUAAAGUAUAUUAAAAAAUGUAAGUUUAGAAAUAUCUAUCAAUAGUAAUUUGUUAUAAUUAAUUUAAUUUUUGAUUAUUAUUUUAUAUAAUUUUAAUUUUUUUAUAAAUAAAUAAUUUUUAAUUCUUUAAAGUUAGAUAUAAUGAUAGAAUUAGUAUAUAUUUUUAUUUAUUUAAAUAAUAUUAUAUAAUAGAUUAUUUAAAGGAAUUCGGCAAAAAUUUUACUCGCCUGUUUAACAAAAACAUGUCUUUUUGAUUUAUAUAUAAAGUCUAGCCUGCCCACUGAAUUUUUAAAUGGCCGCAGUAUUUUGACUGUGCAAAGGUAGCAUAAUCAUUAGUUUUUUAAUUAAAAGCUUGUAUGAAAGGUUGGACGAAGUAAAUUCUGUCUCUAUUUAAUUUAAAUUAGAAUUUAAUUUUUAAGUUAAAAAGCUUAAAUUUUUAUAAAAGACGAGAAGACCCUAUAGAACUUUAUAAUUUAUUAAAUAUAAUUAAUUAAGAUUUAUUUAAGUUUUAUUUAUAUAAUUAUUUUAUUGGGGUAAUAGAAAGAUUAAAUUAAUUCUUUUUUAAUAUUAACAUUAAUUUAUGAUAUAAUUGAUCCAUUUUUAGUGAUUAUAAGAUUAAGUUACCUUAGGGAUAACAGCGUAAUUUUUUUAGAGAGUUCAUAUCGAUAAAAAAGUUUGCGACCUCGAUGUUGGAUUAAAAAUUAUUUUAGGUGUAGAAGCUUAAAUUUUUGGUCUGUUCGACCAUUAAAUUUUUACAUGAUCUGAGUUCAGACCGGUGUAAGCCAGGUCGGUUUCUAUCUUUAUUUAAUUAAAAUAUUUUAGUACGAAAGGACCAAAUAUUUAAUAUAUUUAUAUUUUAGUAUUUGAAUAUUAUU